AAAGAAUCACAACAGCCACAUUGGUGUCUACAUACUUGGCGAAGAUGAAUCCAUAUUCUGCAAAGCUUAUAAGGAUCUAUGCAAAACGAGGAGUCGUCAAUGGACAGAGAAUUAAAAACCUGCUGGUCUCCACAACACGGACUGACAACAUUGAUCAGACUCCGAUCUUUCUUUGUCUACCUGAAUGAAGACCCGACCAGUCUAAUUAAAGAGUAUUUGGAUACAGAUGCACCCAGUACCCAGGAGGCGAUCCAGAAGAUGGUAAUGGGAGUGCUUGUUGUAAAAAUGUAUGGUUCAGACAUCGAAGACAGCCCAGCAGAUGUUGGAGUGUUAUUAAACGGAUUAAGAGUUCUCGGACCUCAACAACAUUGUGUAUGCGACAACCAUGCUGAUGGGACUGAAAUAUGAACUGAACUUGAGCUACUUUCCCAAAUUCAGGUACACUUUUGAAGUAUUGCAGUUGUUGUUUCUGGAGCUAGAUGGGAAGUAACUAUCUCAUAAAGUUCAGACGCUGAAGACCAAGCCUUUUGCAGAUGUUUUGAGAAAGGAAUGUUUUAAUAUUUCAUAUGUAAAUGCCAUGUUUUUGAAAUGGCAGUACAAUAACAUUCAGGAAGUAAGCAGUGUCGUCAAUUUAUUUUGAUAGUUUUGCAGUGUGUUUCUAUUUAAUUAGAUUAAUGUAGAGUUGUUUAAAGCUUUGGCUGUACGUAAAUGGUCCUGCAUCUAAUUUGUCAUGGAAUGUUAACGUUUAUAAUGUUUUUACAGUACCAUUUAACUUAAAAUUAUACCAAAGUUGUUGAAAAAUCUUUGGAAGUCGCAUGUGCCAGCUCUCUGAAUGGAGAGCAACCUAUUUUGUCAGUUAGCAUUACAGUUGUGUAAUAAUGUUGUUUAAUUAUACGUAUCCAGGGGCUUGAAAAAACUGCCUGAAUGGUGCUUCGUGCAUUUCAUUUGUCAGUAAGUGUAAAAAAUUGUAAUGUUAUAAGGUUACAUUGUAAUAUCCAAAGUCCUUGAAAAACUUUGCAAGUUUUUCAAGUUGAUGAGUGCAUCUCAUUUGUCGGUAUAUCCUUUACGGUAUCUGUAGUUUAAGUGCAAUAAACAUGGCUUGAAGAACUGGUGUCUGAGAAUCUUUUAUGAAUAAAAUGAAUGUUAUAUAGAGUUUAUUACAAAAAGUAUAUUUUUGUGUGUGAUUUAACUUGAAAUAGAAAUUGUUGUGUUAAAGUAAAUAAAAGUAAUUGGAUGGAACCACUGUCCACAAUGUAAAUGAGUUGUAUGAAUAAACUACUCUUGAUUUGGACAAGCAAAAAAUAUUUGAUUAGUUUGUACAAGUUAAACACAUGUUCAGAAAACGUAACAAUCUUAAGUUAUGGAUAAGUAACUAAGAUAAUUUUGUUAAACAUUACCACUUCACAUUAGUUAUUUAUUAUUCAAUUGUGUUGCUGCAACAAAAGAAUUUGGCAUUGACUGAAAACAACCCUUAAAUGUUAAUAAAAACUAACUGGGUUGUGUGGAACCACUGUCCACAAUAAAAUUGUGUUCGUUUAAAGUAUC